GGAAAAGAUGCGGGUGACUCUGCUUGUCAGAUUGCUGCUGAGUUUACUUGAAUUACCAUCACUCAACUGAUAUAGACAAACACUGGCUGGAUACAGAAGUAAACUGGCCAGCAUCUACCAAUAAAGGAGUUGCAGGACGGAACAUGUGUAAACUAAUGGCUGUCACUGAGAAGAACAAUACCGACUCAAUUUGGAUCUGUGCAUCUUAAAGGGAUAGUUCACCCAAACCUUUGUCAUUGUUUACUCACCCUCAUGUCAUUCCAAACCUGUAUGAUUUUCUUUCUUCUGUUGAACACAAAAGAAGUUAUUUUGAAGAAUGUUGGUAAACAGACAGCAAUUGACUUCUAUAGUAUGGAAAUAAAAAAAUACGUUGGCUACU